rnacentral:rRNA from 1 species
GACGAACGCUGGCGGCGUGCCUAAUACAUGCACGUCGAGCGAAUCAAUAGGAGCUUGCUCCUGUUGGUUAGCGGCGGACGGGUGAGUAACACGUGGGCAACCUGCCUGUAAGACUGGGAUAACACCGGGAAACCGGUGCUAAUACCGGAUAAUCCUUUUCCUCUCAUGAGGAAAAGCUGAAAGUCGGUUUCGGCUGACACUUACAGAUGGGCCCGCGGCGCAUUAGCUAGUUGGUGAGGUAACGGCUCACCAAGGCGACGAUGCGUAGCCGAGCUGAGAGGGUGAUCGGCCACACGGGGACUGAGACACGGCCCAGACUCCUACGGGAGGAAGCAGUAGGGAAUAUUCCACAAUGGACGAAAGUCUGAUGGAGCAACGCCGCGUGAGCGAUGAAGGCCUUCGGGUGGUAAAGCUCUGUUGUUAGGGAAGAACAAGUAGCGGAGUAACUGCCGGUACCUUGACGGUACCUAACCAGAAAGCCACGGCUAACUACGUGCCAGCAGCCGCCGUAACAC